rnacentral:rRNA from 1 species
AUUGAACGCUGGCGGCAGGCCUAACACAUGCAAGUCGAACGAGUGGCGGACGGGUGAGUAAUGUCUGGGAAACUGCCCGAUGGAGGGGGAUAACUACUGGAAACGGUAGCUAAUACCGAAUAACAUCGGAUGUGCACAGAUGGGAUUAGCUAGGAGGUGGGGUAACGGCUCACCUAGGCGACGAUCCCUAGCUGGUCUGAGAGGAUGACCAGCCCCCCUGGCUCUGAGACACGGUCCAGACUCCUCCGGGAGGCAGCAGUGGGGCAUAUUGCACCAUUGUCGCAAGCCUGAUGCAGCCAUGCCGCGUGUAUGCAGACGUCCUUCGGGUUGUAAAGUACUUUCAGCGAGGAGGCGUUACUCGCAGAAGAAGCACCGGCUAACUCCGUGCCAGCAGCCGCGGUAAUUC